rnacentral:rRNA from 1 species
AUUCCCUAGUAGCGGCGAGCGAAGCGGGAAGAGCUCAAAUUUAUAAUCUGGCACCUUCGGUGUCCGAGUUGUAAUCUCUAGAAGUGUUUUCCGCGUUGGACCGCACACAAGUCUGUUGGAAUACAGCGGCAUAGUGGUGAAACCCCCGUAUAUGGUGCGGACGCCCAGCGCUUUGUGAUACACUUUCAAUGAGUCGAGUUGUUUGGGAAUGCAGCUCAAAUUGGGUGGUAAAUUCCAUCUAAAGCUAAAUAUUGGCGAGAGACCGAUAGCGAACAAGUACCGUGAGGGAAAGAUGAAAAGCACUUUGGAAAGAGAGUUAACAGUACGUGAAAUUGUUGGAAGGGAAACGCUUGAAGUCAGACUUGCUUGCCGGAGCUUGCUUCGGUUUGCAGGCCAGCAUCAGUUUUCCGGGGUGGAUAAUGACGGUUUGAAGGUAGCAGUCUCGGCUGUGUUAUAGCUUUCCGUUGGAUACAUCCUGGGGGACUGAGGAACGCAGCGUGCUUUUUGCGAAAGACUCGUCUUUUUCACGCUUAGGAUGCUGGUGGAAUGGCUUUAAACGAUCCGUCUUGAAACCACGGGACAAC